AUUUUCCGGUUGAUCCUGCCGGACCCGACUGCUAUCAGAGUGGGGCUAAGCCAUGCGAGUCAACGCCGCAAGGCGUGGCAUACGGCUCAGUAACACGUAGUCAACAUGCCCAGGGGACGUGGAUAACCUCGGGAAACUGAGGAUAAACUGCGAUAGGCCAAGGUUUCUGGAAUGGACAAUGGCUGAAACCUAUAUGGCCCCUGGAUUGGACUGCGGCCGAUCAGGCUGUUGGUGGGGUAAUGGCCCACCAAACCAAUAACCGGUACGGGCUUUGAGAGAAGGAGCCCGGAGAUGGGCACUGAGACAAGGGCCCAGGCCCUAUGGGGCGCAGCAGGCGCGAAACCUCUGCAAUAGGCGAAAGCUUGACAAGGUUACUCUGAGUGAUGCCCGCUAAGGGCAUCUUUUGGCACCUCUAAAAAUGGUGCAGAAUAAGGGGUGGGCAAGUCUGGUGUCAGCCGCCGCGGUAAUACCAGCACCCCGAGUGGUCGGGACGAUUAUUGGGCCUAAAGCAUCCGUAGCUUGUUCUGCAAGUCCUCCGUUAAAUCCACCUGCUCAACAGAUGGGCUGCGGAGGAUACUACAGGGCUAGGAGGCGGGAGAGGCAAACGGUACUCAGUGGGUAGGGGUAAAAUCCACUGAUCCACUGAAGACCACCAGUGGCGAAGGCGGUUUGCCAGAACGCGCUCGACGGUGAGGGAUGAAAGCUGGGGGAGCAAACCGGAUUAGAUACCCGGGUAGUCCCAGCUGUAAACGAUGCAGACUCGGUGAUGGGUUGGCUUCGGGCCAACCCAGUGCCGCAGGGAAGCCGUUAAGUCUGCCGCCUGGGGAGUACGGUCGCAAGACUGAAACUUAAAGGAAUUGGCGGGGGAGCACCACAAGGGGUGAAGCCUGCGGUUCAAUUGGAGUCAACGCCGGAAAU
rnacentral:rRNA from 1 species